CUACGGGUUGCACCAGUCGAGAAUCUUCCGCAAUGGACGAAGUCUGACGGAGCGACGCCGCGUGCGGGAUGAAGGCCUUCGGGUUGUAAACCGCUGUCAGUGGGGAGGAAAUGCAUCAGGGUUCUCCCUGGUGCUUGACCGAUCCGCAGAGGAAGCGCAGGCUAAGUUCGUGCCAGCAGCCGCGGUAACACGAACUGCGCGAACGUUAUUCGGAAUCACUGGGCUUAAAGAGUUCGUAGGCGGCCUUUCAAGUCGGGUGUGAAAUCCCUCGGCUCAACCGAGGAAUUGCGCCUGAUACUGUGGGGCUUGAGGGGGAUAGGGGUGAGCGGAACUGAUGGUGGAGCGGUGAAAUGCGUUGAUAUCAUCAGGAACACCGGUGGCGAAGGCGGCUCACUGGAUCUCUUCUGACGCUGAGGAACGAAAGCUAGGGGAGCGAACGGGAUUAGAUACCCCAGUAGUC
rnacentral:rRNA from 1 species